GAUGAACGCUAGCGGCGUGCCUAACACAUGCAAGUCGAACGUGAGAGGGUACUUGUAUCCUUGAAAGUGGCGGACGGGUGAGUAAGACGUAGGUGACCUGCCUCGAAGUGGGGGAUAACCAUUGGAAACGAUGGCUAAUACCGCAUAAGCUGGUGAUGAUGGGAAUUGUUAUCAGGAAAGCUUUAGUGCUUUGAGAGGGGCCUACGGCCGAUUAGCUAGUUGGUGAGGUAAAGGCUCACCAAGGCGAUGAUCGGUAGCUGGUCUGAGAGGACGAUCAGCCACACGGGAACUGAGACACGGUCCCGACUCCUACGGGGGGCAGCAGUGAGGAAUAUUCGGCAAUGGGGGCAACCCUGACCGAGCAACGCCGCGUGGAGGAUGACGGUUUUCGGAUUGUAAACUCCUUUUCUCAGGGAAGAGCGAGGACGGUACCUGAGGAAUAAGUCACGGCUAACUACGUG
rnacentral:rRNA from 1 species